CUCCGUCCUCUUUCCUUCCUCCGCCGCGCCCACCGGUUCCUCCAAGUCUCCGCCGCAAGGCGUGGUCGAUUUGUAAUCGCCGGUGAAAUACAUGCCACUUCGUGACAGCAGCAACUUCACUCUAACUUAACAAGUUGCUGCUGUUCCGAAGGGGCUUGUAUUUUCCAGAAACCAGCACUACCCCCUGGGCCCCCGGCCGCCAUCUUCGAAAUUAAGAAACCUCUCUCAAGUUACGUAGCUGCACGUAUCUCUACAUUGACGACGCUUCUACCUAUAAAUAAAAUUGCAAUCACCAUUUGCGGUUGUUUACGGUGAAUGGAAGGUAGACGUCAUAGCAGGGUUUCAAAAUCUGUGAAUCGGACCCAAAAAAUCGGCAGAAUCACUCCGAUUCCGAGUCAAUCUGAAUCGAAAUGGACAAGGACAGAUUCCAUCACCGGUUCCUAUUUUUAAAACCCUUUCUAUAAGUGUCGGUGUCGUCUUCGGCAUCGUUUUGGAUUUGCAGGUGCCAGCGUCUACUUCAACGCAAUGUCAGGCAUAGGUGAUUCGGAUUUCGGAUGCGCACCAGACAUGCUGGCGGGCUAGGGUCUCAAGUGCUCUCCUGACUAUGCGUAUGGUCCUAAUGGAUUUCCAGCAUGGGGAAUACUGCCCAACUCAGUUUUGGUUUUUGAAAUUGAGGUCCUAAGUGUGCAGUAAUCACCCUUUCAGAGUUGAAUCAUUUGCCUACUCUUUACAUAACAUUAUUAUGGAUUAUAUGUGCUUGGCUUUCUGUUCUGUGAACAUCUUUGGGGUUGAUAUGGUGAACUAGAUUUUUUA